GGUUAAGCGACUAAGCGUACACGGUGGAUGCCCUGGCAGUCAGAGGCGAUGAAGGACGUGCUAAUCUGCGAUAAGCGCCGGUAAGGUGAUAUGAACCGUUAUAACCGGCGAUUUCCGAAUGGGGAAACCCAGUGUGAUUCGUCACACUAUCAUUAACUGAAUCCAUAGGUUAAUGAGGCGAACCGGGGGAACUGAAACAUCUAAGUACCCCGAGGAAAAGAAAUCAACCGAGAUUCCCCCAGUAGCGGCGAGCGAACGGGGAGGAGCCCAGAGCCUGAAUCAGCAUGUGUGUUAGUGGAAGCGUCUGGAAAGGUGCGCGAUACAGGGUGACAGCCCCGUACACAAAAGCGCAUGUGCUGUGAGCUCGAUGAGUAGGGCGGGACACGUGGUAUCCUGUCUGAAUAUGGGGGGACCAUCCUCCAAGGCUAAAUACUCCUGACUGACCGAUAGUGAACCAGUACCGUGAGGGAAAGGCGAAAAGAACCCCGGCGAGGGGAGUGAAAAAGAACCUGAAACCGUGUACGUACAAGCAGUGGGAGCACAGGUUUACCUGUGUGACUGCGUACCUUUUGUAUAAUGGGUCAGCGACUUAUAUUCUGUAGCAAGGUUAACCGUAUAGGGGAGCCGUAGGGAAACCGAGUCUUAACCGGGCGUUAAGUUGCAGGGUAUAGACCCGAAACCCGGUGAUCUAGCCAUGGGCAGGUUGAAGGUUGGGUAACACUAACUGGAGGACCGAACCGACUAAUGUUGAAAAAUUAGCGGAUGACCUGUGGCUGGGGGUGAAAGGCCAAUCAAACCGGGAGAUAGCUGGUUCUCCCCGAAAGCUAUUUAGGUAGCGCCUCGUGAAUUCAUCUCCGGGGGUAGAGCACUGUUUCGGCUAGGGGGCCAUCCCGGCUUACCAACCCGAUGCAAACUGCGAAUACCGGAGAAUGUUAUCACGGGAGACACACGGCGGGUGCUAACGUCCGUCGUGAAGAGGGAAACAACCCAGACCGCCAGCUAAGGUCCCAAAGUCAUGGUUAAGUGGGAAACGAUGUGGGAAGGCCCAGACAGCCAGGAUGUUGGCUUAGAAGCAGCCAUCAUUUAAAGAAAGCGUAAUAGCUCACUGGUCGAGUCGGCCUGCGCGGAAGAUGUAACGGGGCUAAACCAUGCACCGAAGCUGCGGCAGCGAACGUAUCACUUAAAGCGAUUCAGCGGGUUACGAUUGACGGAGCGAAGCGACGUCAAAGCGUAUACAAAGUCGAGUCGGUUUAAGGAUACGUUCGUUGGGUAGGGGAGCGUUCUGUAAGCCCGUGAAGGUGGCCUGUGAGGGUUGCUGGAGGUAUCAGAAGUGCGAAUGCUGACAUAAGUAACGAUAAAGCGGGUGAAAAGCCCGCUCGCCGGAAGACCAAGGGUUCCUGUCCAACGUUAAUCGGGGCAGGGUGAGUCGACCCCUAAGGCGAGGCCGAAAGGCGUAGUCGAUGGGAAACGGGUUAAUAUUCCCGUACUUGGUGUUACUGCGAAGGGGGGACGGAGAAGGCUAUGUUGGCCGGGCGACGGUUGUCCCGGUUUAAGCGUGUAGGUGUGUGUUCCAGGUAAAUCCGGUUCACUUUAACACUGAGGCGUGAUGACGAGGCACUACGGUGCUGAAGCAACAAAUGCCCUGCUUCCAGGAAAAGCCUCUAAGCAUCAGGUAACAUCAAAUCGUACCCCAAACCGACACAGGUGGUCAGGUAGAGAAUACCAAGGCGCUUGAGAGAACUCGGGUGAAGGAACUAGGCAAAAUGGUGCCGUAACUUCGGGAGAAGGCACGCUGACACGUAGGUGAAGUGAUUUACUCACGGAGCUGAAGUCAGUCGAAGAUACCAGCUGGCUGCAACUGUUUAUUAAAAACACAGCACUGUGCAAACACGAAAGUGGACGUAUACGGUGUGACGCCUGCCCGGUGCCGGAAGGUUAAUUGAUGGGGUCAGCGCAAGCGAAGCUCCUGAUCGAAGCCCCGGUAAACGGCGGCCGUAACUAUAACGGUCCUAAGGUAGCGAAAUUCCUUGUCGGGUAAGUUCCGACCUGCACGAAUGGCGUAAUGAUGGCCAGGCUGUCUCCACCCGAGACUCAGUGAAAUUGAACUCGCUGUGAAGAUGCAGUGUACCCGCGGCAAGACGGAAAGACCCCGUGAACCUUUACUAUAGCUUGACACUGAACAUUGAGCCUUGAUGUGUAGGAUAGGUGGGAGGCUUUGAAGUGUGGACGCCAGUCUGCAUGGAGCCGACCUUGAAAUACCACCCUUUAAUGUUUGAUGUUCUAACGUGGACCCGUAAUCCGGGUUGCGGACAGUGUCUGGUGGGUAGUUUGACUGGGGCGGUCUCCUCCUAAAGAGUAACGGAGGAGCACGAAGGUUGGCUAAUCCUGGUCGGACAUCAGGAGGUUAGUGCAAUGGCAUAAGCCAGCUUGACUGCGAGCGUGACGGCGCGAGCAGGUGCGAAAGCAGGUCAUAGUGAUCCGGUGGUUCUGAAUGGAAGGGCCAUCGCUCAACGGAUAAAAGGUACUCCGGGGAUAACAGGCUGAUACCGCCCAAGAGUUCAUAUCGACGGCGGUGUUUGGCACCUCGAUGUCGGCUCAUCACAUCCUGGGGCUGAAGUAGGUCCCAAGGGUAUGGCUGUUCGCCAUUUAAAGUGGUACGCGAGCUGGGUUUAGAACGUCGUGAGACAGUUCGGUCCCUAUCUGCCGUGGGCGCUGGAGAACUGAGGGGGGCUGCUCCUAGUACGAGAGGACCGGAGUGGACGCAUCACUGGUGUUCGGGUUGUCAUGCCAAUGGCACUGCCCGGUAGCUAAAUGCGGAAGAGAUAAGUGCUGAAAGCAUCUAAGCACGAAACUUGCCCCGAGAUGAGUUCUCCCUGAGACUUAGAGUCUCCUGAAGGAACGUUGAAGACGACGACGUUGAUAGGCCGGGUGUGUAAGCGCAGCGAUGCGUUGAGCUAACCGGUACUAAUGAACCGUGAGGCUUAACCUU
rnacentral:rRNA from 1 species